rnacentral:lncRNA from 1 species
UUAAAUAAGUGUAAAAAAUUCUAAAAGUGUCAAAUACUCUUAAUAGUGCCUAACAUCAGAUUGACAUACAUAACUUUAUUCCUUGUGAAUUUUUUUUUUUUUUUUAUGGUCAGCACUGCCAAUAUCAUUCUUUUUUAUGCAUGGAAUUUUGUCCAAGGAUACACCUGUAAAAGCUUAUGCUUUGCUUCUAAAUCGAUUUUCCUCUUAUUUCGGUCUCGAGAUGAUGAAUCUGGAAAAACUAAAAUGAAGAUCAUAUAAGCUAAUAUGAUAUGAGGAAGACGUCAUGUGAGUGGAGAAAG